GCCCUCGUAGUGUAAUGGUCAGCACACUCGGCUCGUUUUCAAGAAGCCCGAGGUUCGAGUCGCGGUGAGGGCA
rnacentral:tRNA from 1 species